rnacentral:rRNA from 1 species
UACGGAGGAUCCAAGCGUUAUCCGGAUUUAUUGGGUUUAAAGGGUGCGUAGGCGGAUUGAUAAGUUAGAGGUGAAAUGUCCGAGCUCAACUCGGGAACUGCCUCUAAUAUUGUUGAUCUAGAGAGUAGAUGCGGUAGGCGGAAUGUAUGGUGUAGCGGUGAAAUGCUUAGAGAUCAUACAGAACACCGAUUGCGAAGGCAGCUUACCAAUCUAUAUCUGACGUUGAGGCACGAAAGCGUGGGGAGCAAACAGG